rnacentral:rRNA from 1 species
AUAAAAAACCAAUGCCCUUCGGGGCUCCUUGGUGAUUCAUAAUAACUUCACGAAUCGCAUGGCCUUGCGCCGGCGAUGGUUCAUUCAAAUUUCUGCCCUAUCAACUUUCGAUGGUAGGAUAGUGGCCUACCAUGGUGGCAACGGGUAACGGGGAAUUAGGGUUCGAUUCCGGAGAGGGAGCCUGAGAAACGGCUACCACAUCCAAGGAAGGCAGCAGGCGCGCAAAUUACCCAAUCCCGAUACGGGGAGGUAGUGACAAUAAAUACUGAUACAGGGCUCUUUUGGGUCUUGUAAUUGGAAUGAGAACAAUCUAAAUCCCUUAACGAGGAACAAUUGGAGGGCAAGUCUGGUGCCAGCAGCCGCGGUAAUUCCAGCUCCAAUAGCGUAUAUUAAAGUUGUUGCAGUUAAAAAGCUCGUAGUUGAACCUUGGGCCCGUCCUGCCGGUCCGCCUCACCGCGAGUACUGGUCCGGAUGGGCCUUUCUUUCUGGGGAAUCCCAUGGCCUUCACUGGCUGUGGC